AUUGAACGCUGGCGGCAGGCCUAACACAUGCAAGUCGAGCGCGCGGCGGACGGGUGCGUAAUGUAUGGGGACUGCCCGAUAGAGGGGGAUAACUCCUGGAAACGGUAGCUAAUACCCCAUACUAUCGGAUAGUCCCUAUGGGAUUAGCUAGUAGGUGGGGUAAUGGCUCACCUAGGCGACGAUCCCUAGCUGGUCUGAGAGGAUGACCAGCCACACUGGGACUGAGACACGGCCCAGACUCCUACGGAGGCAGCAGUGGGGAAUUUUGGACAAUGGGGGAAACCCUGAUCCAGCCAUGCCGCGUGUAUGAAGAAGGCCCUAGGGUUGUAAAGUACUUUCAGUCGGGAGGCGUUACCGACAGAAGAAGCACCGGCUAACUCCGUGCCAGCAGCCGCGGUAAUUC
rnacentral:rRNA from 1 species